CUCGUCCUUCAACAGUAGGUUACACUGCGUCUCGUCCUUCAACAGUAGGUUACACUGUGUCUCGUCCUUCAACAGUAGGUUACACUGUGUCUCGUCCUUCAACAGUAGGUUACACUGUGUCUCGUCCCUCAACAGUAGGUUACACUGUGUCUCGUCCUUCAACAGUAGGUUACACUGUGUCUCGUCCCUCAACAGUAGGUUACACUGUGUCUCGUCCUUCAACAGUAGGUUACACUGUGUCUCGUCCCUCAACAGUAGGUUACACUGCGUCUCGUCCUUCAACAGUAGGUUACACUGUGUCUCGUCCUUCAACAGUAGGUUACACUGUGUCUCGUCCUUCAACAGUAGGUUACACUGCGUCUCGUCCCUCAACAGUAGGUUACACUGUGUCUCGUCCCUCAACAGUAGGUUACACUGUGUCUCGUCCCUCAACAGUAGGUUACACUGUGUCUCGUCCCUCAACAGUAGGUUACACUGCGUCUCGUCCUUCAACAGUAGGUUACACUGUGUCUCGUCCUUCAACAGUAGGUUACACUGUGUCUCGUCCCUCAACAGUAGGUUACACUGCGUCUCGUCCCUCAACAGUAGGUUACACUGCGUCUCGUCCCUCAACAGUAGGUUACACUGCGUCUCGUCCCUCAACAGUAGGUUACACUGCGUCUCGUCCCUCAACAGUAGGUUACACUGUGUCCCCUCUUCUCUUUUUAUUAGAACUGCAGAAGAUACAAACACAGGAAGGAGGCUUCUGACUUCCUGUCAC